rnacentral:misc_RNA from 1 species
GAUGAAGAACGUAGCGAAAUGCGAUAAGUAAUGUGAAUUGCAGAAUUCAGUGAAUCAUCGAAUCUUUGAACGCACAUUGCGCCCGCCAGUAUUCUGGCGGGCAUGCCUGUUCGAGCGUCAUUUCAACCCUCAAGACCCCUUCGGGGGACUUGGUGUUGGGGACCGGCACAGGGGCCUGCCUGCUUGUCUUGCAGCGCCCUCGCCGCCCCCGAAAUGAAUUGGCGGCCUCGUCGCGGCCUCCCCUGCGUAGUAGCACAAACCUCGCAACGGGAACGUGACGGCGGCCACUGCCGUAAAACAACCCAAUUUUAUUAGAGUUGACCUCGAAUCAGGUAGGAAUACCCGCUGAACUUAAGCAUAUCAAUAAGCGGAGG